CUUGGUCAUUUAGAGGAAGUAAAAGUCGUAACAAGGUUUCCGUAGGUGAACCUGCGGAAGGAUCAUUACAGAGUUCAUGCCCUUCGGGGUAGAUCUCCCACCCUUGUGUAUCAUUAUAGAAUGUUGCUUUGGCGGGCUGCGUGCCUAGCAUGCCUCGAUUCGCGUCGAGCGCGCCCGCCAGAGGACCCCUAAACUCUGAAUGUUAGUGUCGUCUGAGUACUAUUAAAUAGUUAAAACUUUCAACAACGGAUCUCUUGGUUCUGGCAUCGAUGAAGAACGCAGCGAAAUGCGAUAAGUAAUGUGAAUUGCAGAAUUCAGUGAAUCAUCGAAUCUUUGAACGCACAUUGCGCCCCUUGGUAUUCCGGGGGGCAUGCCUGUUCGAGCGUCAUUUAUACCAAUCUAGCCUGGCUAGGUGUUGGGCUUCGCCAGCUGGCGGGCCUUAAAACUAGUGGCGGUGCUCUUCAGCUCUACGCGUAGUAAUUUUCUCGCUAUAGGGUCUGGGGAGAUGCUGGCCAGCAACCCCAAAUUUUUCUAGGUUGACCUCGGAUCAGGUAGGGAUACCCGCUGAACUUAAGCAUAUCAAUAAGCGGAGGA
rnacentral:rRNA from 1 species